GGAGGAAUGGCAGAGAGGUCGAAUGCACACGAUUCGAAAUCGUGCGUUGGCUGAUACCCAACCUUGGGUUCGAAUCCCAAUUCCUCCGCCA
rnacentral:tRNA from 1 species